CGCGCAUGCGCGCCCGCCGCCGCCGCCGGGGCGCGCGGGGGCUUCGGGGAGGGGGAGCUGCCGCGGCCGGGGUGGGGCGCUGCGCGCCGUGCCGGGGGGGGUCGCGGGACGUGCCCGGCGCCACGGCGCGCGCGGGCGGAGACGGCUGCGGUGUCGGGAACGGCCUCCUGCGCCCUGACACGAGCGCUGCGGCCCUCCCCGGUUAACGGGAGUUGGUUACGAAGAUGUCCGACGGGGGAGCCGGGGGGCGCUCGCUACGAGCAUUCCGGGCACAAGGACACAUGCUGCCUGUUAUACCACCACGGGAGAUGCAGAUAACAUCUUUUUGUGUAAAAAUCUAUCUUGGGAGCAAUGAGACAGCACCAUCUCCACAUCACACUGCUCUCCAUCCCAUGAUCGUUAAUUCAGGUAAGGGAAGUGAGGAAUUUGCUUUUCUGGCUAGCAUUCCCUAAAGGGCAAAGCUGGCAGUUGCCCAGUGCACACGCCAGGGUUGUGUCCAUUGAAUUCCCAGACCUUUCCCAUCUGGUUCUUGUAAUAUUGGAGGUGGAUCUGCUGCUUCGUUUUGUAUUCUGCAUCCAUCUUCUCUCAGGCACGAUCUGGAAACUGCUCUGCAGCCCAUCCCACAGCAUGCGAGGUCUCCUUGUUGCGUCCAGUGGGUCAGGAAGGAAGGGAGAAAGCCCUAGAGUUACAAGAAUUCCCAAAGGGCAGCAAGUACAAAGAACAAACACAUUGUAAAAACAAGCACACAAAAAUACUUCAUUGUUUUAAAUGCAAAAGGCAUUUUCUGUUGUCAGAUGCAGGCAAACUGCAUUGCUUUUACAUAGAGAGGCUGUUAGCAGCAAACUAGCUGACCCAUGCUCGAAAGCAUUCCAAGGAUACUUCCCCCCUUGGGAGACCAGAAAUACCAGAGAAGCCAUUUUCAUACAGCCUGACUGUUCCUACCAGCACCAGGCUUGAAUCAGGCUUAUGCUUGUCAGAGAAUAGAGACAGAACCUAACUUUAUCUCAGAGGAACACACAAACCUACCCUGCAGCUUUCAGGCUGACCUUGGCCAUUUAUUGGCACCAUGCUUGGCAUGGUUUCUCAGAUAGUGACAAGAAUGUAAGUGAUAUCUGGGGUGGUAACAGGCAUGUGAGAAGGAAAUGGUUUGGCUCUGCAGAUUUCCAGGAACUUUAAGACAAGCCAAUUGGGCUCAAAUGACACUGAGAAACUACAGUGCACCAAUGGCAACAGGAUGCACCCUUUUGUACAAUAAACAGCCAUGAGGAUCACUUGCACUUUUUGCUCUAUAACCCCAGGCCAUGAGUCUGUUAUUAAAACCUAUUAAGAGCAUGCUUGUCAAUAAAAGCCCAUGAAAGAAUGCCUGUGUUCUAUGCUAGAAUAAUAAUAAAAAAAAAAAGCAGAAUUUUGUAAAGUGUUUUCUGUCCAUCAGCACAUUUUCAUCUGCUCUGACACUCAAGGUUCCUUCAUCUUCCCCCUCACUUGUCCAAACCAGCAUAAGCACCUCAGUCCGCAGAUGUCCACGGUCAAUUGCAGGCCCCUCCACCUUCCAGAGGCACGACCACCUCCCCAGCCCCUCCAGGCCCUGCCAAGGGGAAUAGGGGAAUGCCAGUAGUGGGCUAUCGUGGGAUUGCUCUGACAUGGAAAUCCCAGUAGUUUUAAGCAUGCAGACCGUUGGUUCUCUCUCCUUUUCUGCACAUUCACCCACAUCUCAGUCUCUUAUAUAUUUAUAUAUA
rnacentral:lncRNA from 1 species